rnacentral:rRNA from 1 species
AGAGUUUGAUCAUGGCUCAGGACGAACGCUGGCGGCGUGCUUAACACAUGCAAGUCGAACGGAAAGGCCCUUCGGGGUACUCGAGUGGCGAACGGGUGAGUAACACGUGGGUGAUCUGCCCUGCACUUUGGGAUAAGCCUGGGAAACUGGGUCUAAUACCGAAUAGGACCGCGCUCUUCAUGGGGUGUGGUGGAAAGCUUUUGCGGUGUGGGAUGGGCCCGCGGCCUAUCAGCUUGUUGGUGGGGUAAUGGCCUACCAAGGCGACGACGGGUAGCCGGCCUGAGAGGGUGACCGGCCACACUGGGACUGAGAUACGGCCCAGACUCCUACGGGAGGCAGCAGUGGAGAAUAUUGCACAAUGGGCGCAAGCCUGAUGCAGCGACGCCGCGUGAGGGAUGACGGCCUUCGGGUUGUAAACCUCUUUCAAUAGGGACGAAGCGCAAGUGACGGUACCUAUAGAAGAAGGACCGGCCAACUACGUGCCAGCAGCCGCGGUAAUACGUAGGGUCCGAGCGUUGUCCGGAAUUACUGGGCGUAAAGAGCUCGUAGGUGGUUUGUCGCGUUGUUCGUGAAAACUCACAGCUUAACUGUGGGCGUGCGGGCGAUACGGGCAGACUAGAGUACUGCAGGGGAGACUGGAGUUCCUGGUGUAGCGGUGGAAUGCGCAGAUAUCAGGAGGAACACCGGUGGCGAAGGCGGGUCUCUGGGCAGUAACUGACGCUGAGGAGCGAAAGCGUGGGGAGCGAACAGGAUUAGAUACCCUGGUAGUCCAA